GAUGGACGCUGGCGGCGUGCCUAAUACAUGCAAGUCGAGCGAACGGACGAGAAGCUUGCUUCUCUGAUGUUAGCGGCGGACGGGUGAGUAACACGUGGAUAACCUACCUAUAAGACUGGGAUAACUUCGGGAAACCGGAGCUAAUGCCGGAUAAUAUUUUGAACCGCAUGGUUCAAAAGUGAAAGACGGUCUUGCUGUCACUUAUAGAUGGAUCCGCGCUGCAUUAGCUAGUUGGUAAGGUAACGGCUUACCAAGGCAACGAUGCAUAGCCGACCUGAGAGGGUGAUCGGCCACACUGGAACUGAGACACGGUCCAGACUCCUACGGGAGGCAGCAGUAGGGAAUCUUCCGCAAUGGGCGAAAGCCUGACGGAGCAACGCCGCGUGAGUGAUGAAGGUCUUCGGAUCGUAAAACUCUGUUAUUAGGGAAGAACAUAUGUGUAAGUAACUGUGCACAUCUUGACGGUACCUAAUCAGAAAGCCACGGCUAACUACGUG
rnacentral:rRNA from 1 species